rnacentral:rRNA from 1 species
CUACGGGUCGCACCAGUGAGGAAUAUUGGUCAAUGGGCGCAAGCCUGAACCAGCCAUGCCGCGUGCAGGAAGACGGUCCUAUGGAUUGUAAACUGCUUUUAUUUGGGAAUAAACCUAUUUACGUGUAGAUAGCUGCAGGUACCAAAUGAAUAAGCACCGGCUAACUCCGUGCCAGCAGCCGCGGUAAUACGGAGGGUGCAAGCGUUAUCCGGAAUCAUUGGGUUUAAAGGGUCCGCAGGCGGAUUUAUAAGUCAGUGGUGAAAGCCUACAGCUUAACUGUAGAACUGCCAUUGAUACUGUAAGUCUUGAAUUCGGUCGAAGUGGGCGGAAUGUGUAGUGUAGCGGUGAAAUGCUUAGAUAUUACACAGAACACCGAUAGCGAAGGCAGCUCACUAGGCCUGGAUUGACGCUCAGGGACGAAAGCGUGGGGAGCAAACAGGAUUAGAUACCCGCGUAGUC